CGGUUGGGCACUCUAGAGGGACUGCCGGCGACAAGUCGGAGGAAGUGGGGAUGACGUCAAAUCAUCAUGCCCCUUAUGACCUGGGCUACACACGUGCUACAAUGGGCGGUACAAAGGGCUGCGAACCCGCGAGGGGGAGCGAAUCCCAAAAAGCCGCUCUCAGUUCGGAUUGCAGGCUGCAACUCGCCUGCAUGAAGCCGGAAUCGCUAGUAAUCGCGGAUCAGCAUGCCGCGGUGAAUACGUUCCCGGGCCUU
rnacentral:rRNA from 1 species